GAUGAACGCUGGCGGCGUGCCUAAUACAUGCAAGUCGAGCGAAUGGAUUGAGAGCUUGCUCUUAUGAAGUUAGCGGCGGACGGGUGAGUAACACGUGGGUAACCUGCCCAUAAGACUAGGAUAACUCCGGGAAACCGGGGCUAGUACCAGAUAACAUUUUGAACCGCAUGGUUAGAAAUUGAAAGGCUGCUUAGGCUGUCACAUAUGGAGUGACACGCGUCGCAUUAGCUCGUUGGUGAGGUAACGGCUCACCAAGGCAACGAUGCGUAGCCGACCUGAGAGGGUGAUCGGCCACACUGGGGCUGAGACACGGCCCAGACUCCUACGGGAGGCAGCAGUAGGGAAUCUUCCGCAAUGGACGAAAGUCUGACGGAGCAACGCCGCGUGAGUGAUGGAGGCUUUCGGGUCGUAAAACUCUGUUGUUAGGGAAGAACAAGUGCUAGUUGAAUAAGCUGGCACCUUGACGGUACCUAACCAGAAAGCCACGGCUAACUACGUGCCAGCCGCCGCAGUAA
rnacentral:rRNA from 1 species